rnacentral:misc_RNA from 1 species
AUCUGAAAGUGCAUCAAGUAUACCAAUACUAAUAUCAGGAUCGCAACUAUUGAAAAAUCAAUACAUUCAGAAGUUUGAAAAAAGAAUUGCAAAACCAGAAAUAAAUUCAGAAUCGUGCCAACUGUAUCAUAUACCACAUCAAACUUCUCUGUGAGGUCUUUAAAAUGUUCCUUGGUAUAAUCUAUAGCUAAAUCCACUCCCAAACUUUUCAGUAGUUCUAGCUUUCCAGUGCUAGAGGUGGUA